rnacentral:rRNA from 1 species
ACGGGUGAGUAACACGUGGGAAACUACCCUUUGGUGCGGAAUAACACAGAGAAAUUUGUGCUAAUACCGCAUGAGCUCUUCGGAGGAAAGAUUUAUCGCCAAAGGAUGUGCCCGCGUCCGAUUAGCUAGUUGGUGAGGUAAUGGCUCACCAAGGCGACGAUCGGUAGCUGGUCUGAGAGGAUGAUCUGCCACACUGGGACUGAGACACGGCCCAGACUCCUACGGGAGGCAGCAGUGGGGAAUAUUGGACAAUGGGCGCAAGCCUGAUCCAGCCAUGCCGCGUGAGUGAUGAAGGCCUUAGGGUUGUAAAGCUCUUUCGCCCGCGAGGAUAAUGACGGUAGCGGGAUAAGAAGCCCCGGCUAACUUCGUGCCAGCAGCCGCGGUAAUACGAAGGGGGCUAGCGUUGUUCGGAAUCACUGGGCGUAAAGCGCACGUAGGCGGACUUUUAAGUCAGAGGUGAAAGCCUGGAGCUCAACUUCAGAACUGCCUUUGAUACUGGAAGUCUUGAGUCCGGUAGGGGUGAGUGGAACUGCUAGU